UCAGCUGUUAACUCCACAUCUGAGCCGCUGUCAUCGGAAGCCUGUGUGUUGCCAGAUGUUGAGGGGGUUCUUGCCAUCAUGGACCGCAACUUAGUUUCAGUUUAAUUUAUUUAUAUAGCACAUUUAAAAACGACAGAGCCGACCAAAGUGCUGCACAGAGAAGUAGAAUUAAGCCAAUAACCAUAACAAAUUUACAAUAAAAAGGUGACAGAAAUAAUACACAACACUAAAUAUACACAUGUAACAGGGUCAAAAAGGUAUUUCCACUUGCUACACUCAUUUUCAUGUAUGGUCCCUUUAAUUGCACUCUACCUGCACACUCCACCCAGAUAAUGAACUAGUUCCGGUAGGGUCAUUUAGAUUCGCGCCAGCCGAGAGGGUGACUGGCUGCGAGCAUGCACGAGGGUGAUUUGCGAAUCUGAUCACCGCUGUUUAAUAUGUUGUCAACAGAAUAAAAGUCUGUCUUCAAGCGA